UACGAAGGGUGCUAGCGUUGUUCGGAAUCACUGGGCGUAAAGCGCGCGUAGGCGGCUAUUCAAGUCAGGGGUGAAAUCCUGAGGCUCAACCUCAGAAUUGCCUUUGAAACCGUAUGACUAGAGUCCGGAAGAGGAGAGUGGAAUUCCUGGUGUAGCGGUGAAAUGCGCAGAUAUCAGGAAGAACACCCGUGGCGAAGGCGGCUCUCUGGGACGGUACUGACGCUGAGACGCGAAAGCGUGGGGAGCGAACAGG
rnacentral:rRNA from 1 species